CAAGGAAUUUUCGUCAAUGGGCGCAAGCCUGAACGAGCAACGCCGCGUGGAGGACGACGGCCUUCGGGUUGUAAACUCCUUUUCCGGGGGACGAUUGUGACUGUACCCCGGGAAUAAGGCUCGGCUAACUCUGUGCCAGCAGCCGCGGUAAGACAGAGGAGCCAAGCGUUGUCCGGAUUGACUGGGCGUAAAGCGCACGCAGGCGGCUCAGCACGUGGGGUGUGAAAGGGUAGCGGCUUAACUGCUACACGCCAUCCCAUACGGCUGGGCUCGAGCCAUGCAGAGGUCCACGGAAUUGCCGGUGUAGUGGUGAAAUGCGUAGAGAUCGGCAGGAACACCCAGGGGGAAACCAGUGGACUGGGCAUGAGCUGACGCUCAGGUGCGAAAGCGUGGGGAGCGAACCGGAUUAGAUACCCGGGUAGUCCACGCCGUAAACGAUGAAUACUCGGCAUCUGUUGCGCGAUACUCGCGCGGCGGGUGCCCCAGCUAACGCGGUAAGUAUUCCG
rnacentral:rRNA from 1 species